AUCUCUUCUUUAUAACUUAACUCGGCUGUAGUAUUGUGUCAUUAUUAUCAGAGAAGGGACAAAGACGAUUGGCAUAGCCCAGAAGGCAGGAUGGGGACUGUUACAGAUUUUAUAGCUAAGAGACUCAAAACUAUCAAAUGACUUUACUGCACAGAUGCAGACAGUCAGUGGCAAAUUUGCAGACAUUUGGACUUCUAGUACAGAGUUCUUUUCCUGAUCCCUGAGUCCUGAAACUGCAGUCAAUUGGCAUAGC